GGGUUCUUAGCUCAGUGGUAGAGCAUUUGACUGCAUAUCAACAGGUCACCAGUUCAAAUCUGGUAGAGCCUU